AUGGGGCGCGGGAAGAUCGAGAUCAAGAGGAUCGAGAACCAGAGCAACCGCCAGGUGACCUUCUCCAAGCGCAAGAACGGGAUCCUCAAGAAGGCCAAGGAGAUCAGCGUGCUCUGCGACGCCGAGGUCGGCGUCGUCGUCUUCUCCAGCGCCGGCAAGCUCUACGACUUCUGCUCCCCCAGGACCUCGCUAUCAAGAAUCUUGGAGAAGUACCAGACCAACUCCGGGAAGAUACUGUGGGAUGAGAAACACAAGAGCCUCAGUGCGGAGAUUGAUCGAAUCAAGAAAGAGAAUGAUAACAUGCAGAUCGAGCUCAGACACUUGAAAGGCGAAGAUAUGAACUCGCUGCAGCCCAAAGAGCUGAUCAUGAUUGAGGAAGCACUUGAUAAUGGGCUGACAAGUCUGCAUGAAAAACAGAUGGAGCACUAUGACAGGCUCGUGAAACAUGGUAAGAUGCUGGAAGAUGAGAACAAGCUGCUAGCCUUUAAAGUGCACCAGCAUGAUAUCGCCUUGAGCGGGAGCAUGAGGGAUCUUGAGCUUGGGUACCAUCCAGACAGGGACUUUGCAGCCCAGAUGCCGAUCACCUUCCGCGUGCAGCCUAGCCACCCCAAUCUGCAGGAGGACAGCUAG
rnacentral:rRNA from 1 species